AUACGGAGGGUGCGAGCGUUAAUCGGAAUUACUGGGCGUAAAGCGUACGUAGGCGGUUGGUUAAGUUAGAUGUGAAAGCCCCGGGCUUAACCUGGGAACUGCAUUUAAAACUGGCGAACUAGAGUUGAGUAGAGGGGAGUGGAAUUUCAGGUGUAGCGGUGAAAUGCGUAGAGAUCUGAAGGAACACCAGUGGCGAAGGCGACUCCCUGGACUCGAACUGACGCUGAGGUACGAAAGCGUGGGUAGCAAACGGGAUUAGAAACCCUUGUAGUCC
rnacentral:rRNA from 1 species